AUUUGUCAGGAGGAGGAGAUCCAGGUGCAGGUGGCAGAUGUGUGUAGCCAGAUAUGAGGAUACAGAAAACAUGGGGUAGGUUUCUUUGCUAGAGGCUGAAAAGUCAGCAAAGAAUAAAGAGCUUCAAGAAAAAACCAAGAGAAGAGAGGUGUUCCUGGUGGGGCACAGCCUAGAGAGGAGGGAGGGCAUUUGAAAUGAAAAGAUUCCAGAGAUCCUUCCUGCCUCUGUGGAUGUGGGUUUGCUCUUAGAGGCACCUCUUGCCAUUCCAUUG